UUUAUGUAAUGAUAAUAAUUCUGCACGAGGCAAACAAAAUGUCAUAAAACUUUAUUAACUAAACUUGGUCGAAUAAAAAUGAUCAUGCUUACAUAUUGUGAUUUAAAUAACAAAUAAUAAUAAAUCAAUAAUGGUAGAAAUUAAAUUUAAAAGUGUUUUUUUAACUUGUCUUAUUUUUCUCGCCACACUGCCGCUAUUUGAAGCAAAAUUAUUUUGGUUUUACUACAAUCCCAUCAGCAGACACAUUAUAAACGUCGUUCCUCCGAUUUCUCAACCAUUCAACAAACCUCAGAGGUCAGACCCUAGACAGACAAUUUUGGACCUCUUAAAAAUUAUAGACAAAAGCCAACAAAAAUCUGAACAUGAAACGAUUGAAAACCAGUGCGCGCGCCUCUUUGGUAGUAUAUACGGGACGAAGGAGCAAAGGAUAUCGUGUUUAAAAAAACUUAAAGCGAAAAAAGAAAUGAAGAAACUGAGUCCGAAUAAACCACAGCUAUUGAUCGAUUUGAAAGACCCAUUCAUUGAUUUUACAAGAGCUGUAGGUUUGAACCAAAAGUCUGAGAGGAGUGAUUUAAAAGACAGAUUUUCAACCGAUUAUAUUGAUAUUGGAGAUUUGAGAAUGAAAAAGAAAAAUCGUAAUUUGAAAGCCAAGCGAAGAAAUACAAACAUAAUAUACAGAGCUUCAGAUUCCUCCGAUACAGACUCUGAUGAAUCGAUCGAAAUACAGAAACAAAGUUAUUAUAAAAAACCUAAAAGGUUUCAAGUGAUAGAAAACAUUUUAACUAAAGAAAAAGAGAGUGAUGACGAUAGUGAUGAUUCUUCAGUUGAAUACAAAAAACCGUAUAAAAAGCCAAACGCAAAAACAUAUAAAAAGCCUUACGUAAUGCCACAUAAAAAUCAGUAUAAAGAACCGAAAAGACCGAAUGUAGAGCCGCACAAAAAUCCGGAAGAUAGUGAUGACUCAUCCGAUGAAGAGUAUGAAAAACCGUACAAAACACCGAAGAAAAAACCGAUAAAUAAAAAUCCGUACAAAAAACCGGCAAAAAAAAAACUGGUAAAGAAAGAAUAUUACCUCCAAGGCACCAGGUUAGUGAGUCCCAGCUCUGAAGAAGAUGCUAGAAGAAGAAUACAGCACUUCUUACCCAAAAGGUUCCACUGGGAACCAGAAGACAUCCAAAACUUGGGAUAUUAUUGGUUUAAUGGACCUCAAGGCCGAUACCCGUAUUUUGCUGUUCGACCGUAAUUUUUUAAAUAAAUAUUUUCAUAAAUA